UGGUGUGUUUUUUUUUAAAUU
rnacentral:piRNA from 1 species